rnacentral:rRNA from 1 species
GAACGAAAAGGCACGCCCGCGCGGGCCGAGGGGUGAUGGCGGCCUCGGCCGCCCGCAACCCCGGGGCGUCUCGAUCUACCGCCGCUCGUCGGCGGAAGGCGAGGCGCACCUAGAGCGCGCACGCUGGGACCCGAAAGAUGGUGAACUAUGCCUGGCCAGGACGAAGUCAGGGGAAACCCUGAUGGAGGUCCGUAGCGAUUCUGACGUGCAAAUCGAUCGUCAGAGCUGGGUAUAGGGGCGAAAGACUAAUCGAACCAUCUAGU